rnacentral:rRNA from 1 species
GACGAACGCUGGCGGCGUGCUUAACACAUGCAAGUCGAACGGAAAGGCCCUGCUUUUGUGGGGUGCUCGAGUGGCGAACGGGUGAGUAACACGUGAGUAACCUGCCCUUGACUUUGGGAUAACUUCAGGAAACUGGGGCUAAUACCGGAUAGGAGCUCCUGCUGCAUGGUGGGGGUUGGAAAGUUUCGGCGGUUGGGGAUGGACUCGCGGCUUAUCAGCUUGUUGGUGGGGUAGUGGCUUACCAAGGCUUUGACGGGUAGCCGGCCUGAGAGGGUGACCGGCCACAUUGGGACUGAGAUACGGCCCAGACUCCUACGGGAGGCAGCAGUGGGGAAUAUUGCACAAUGGGCGGAAGCCUGAUGCAGCAACGCCGCGUGCGGGAUGACGGCCUUCGGUUUGUAAACCGCUUUCGCCUGUGACGAAGCGUGAGUGACGGUAAUGGGUAAAGAAGCACCGGCUAACUACGUG